rnacentral:lncRNA from 1 species
CCCUCGGUCUCUCUCUCUACGCUCUGUCUCUGUCUCUCUCUCUCUCUCUCUCUCUCUCUCUCGCUCUCUCUCUCCAUUUCUUCCUCUCAUCCGGCCAGUAGUGGCGCGACGGGCUGGAGUACGGCGGUGGCGAGAGGUGCUGCGCCAGACGACGUAGAUCUCGUGACAAUUCGCCCCUGCUUCACGCUAUUUCAAUUUCUAAAAGCUUUGAAGAUUCUAUCCGAGCGAUA